CAGCACCAACAACAAUGAUGACAACAAUAGCAACAACAACAACAAUGAUGACUACAAUAGCAACAACAACAAUAGCAAAACCAUCACCACCAGUAGCUGCGCCAACAAGCUAGCAAUUCAACAGUGAUCGCGUCAAAUGUAUGAAUGCUUACAACAACAGCAGCAACAACAACAGCAGUGCCAUACAAAUAGCGAGUCGCUAGCGCUACUUUUGCAUUCAUUCAGCCGUUGAAUUCGUAAACACACUCGGCGCGCACAUACACACAUGGGCACAUGUGCGCCGCGCUUCACGAUCAGUUAAACGGUUAGCAGCAGUGCGCUGUGGAGCGCUGCCCAGCGUCGUCAAGGGGCAAAACCAACGCCAGCGGCCGGGCAGACACAGGCGCGUGACGCGUUGUGUUGUGUGGCAAGGCUUGGCGAUUUGUUUGGGUAAACAUUCGUACGUGUCACGUACGCUGGCGGGACGUGGCGCGGCGUUGCUGCUUCGGAAUAUCCAUUUGAAGGCUGAAGUUUUGAAGGACAGCUCAAAGCAGUAUUCCUUGAAAUGCUGAAAAAUUAAAAUCUAUACACUCAAAUGUCACAGAUAAUUAUGGACAGUCUUAUUUGCGGUUCCAGAAGUUGACAUAUGCGGUAUUAGACUUCUGGUGCGAACAGAAUACGAAAAAGAAAAUAAGUUCUGUAUACUUUGGAAUAUAGUUGAAUGAAUUCAUGUAACGAACUGGAUAAUAACCCUCCACUUUAAGUUACUUGGCUGUAGCAUGUGAUAGAAGGAAGAUAAGACUGCCAGCUGUCAGUUGUCAGCUGUCAUUUGAUAGUUGUCAGUUGUCAGCUGGCAUUAGUCAGUUGCCAGCUGUCAUUUGUCAGCAGUCAUUUGUCAAUUGUCAGUGUAGUAUUUGUAAUUUGUCAGUUGUCAUUUGUCAUUUGUCAGCUGUCAUUUGUCAUUUGUAAGCUGUCAUUGUCAGGUGUCAGUUGUCAGCUAGUACUUGUAAUUUAUCAGCUAUCAUUUUUCAGCUGUCAUUUGUCAGCUGUCAUUUGUUAAUUGUCAGCUAUCAUUUGUCAGCUGUCAUAUGUAAGCUGUCAUUUGUUAGUAGUCAUUUGUAAAUUAUCAGAUGUCAGUUGUCAGCUAGUAUUUGUAAGCUGUCAGCUGUUAGCUGUCAUUUGUCAGUUGUCAGCUGCUGACAGACAACUGGUAGUAAAUCAUAAGCACUUUAGGCGCACUGUGCUUUAUUUUAGAAACUAUUAAAUGCAAAUUCUUUAUUUUUUGGUAGGAAACCACUUACACUCACUUACAGUGAACGCUUUUCUAAGUUUAGUCCAACUUUAGUUUACAACUAUUACAACAUUUAUUUUUAACAUACAUAUAUGACACUAACGGUAUAGGUACACUUUUGUUCCACUGAUAAAAAAAACUGUCAAUUUGUCAAACUGUCAAAAGUAGUACCCUUCCAAAUGAUUUAAAAAUCAUUUUUUUUUUUAUUUUUUAAUAAUUAUAUAUAAAAUUCCUUUAAUUAUAUUUUGCAAAACUAAGUUUUUUGUUGAAAAUAAUUAUUUAAACUUAACUUUUAAUUUCAACCGUUGAUGCUACAAUCGCGUUUGUUUUAACACAUUCUUUGUUUGAGUUAAAACGGAAAGCUGACGAAAAGCAGUUGUUUCAACUUAGCGCUUUCUACUUGUUAAGCGUUGAGUUUAAAAAUUUUGGGAUCGUACGAUCUCUAUUUGUUGGCCAAUUGCAAAAUUGGAAAAUAUUGAUUAUAUUUAAAACCUUCUCAUGGCAUUUUUCAACUGAAAACAGUUUACUUGUUCAUGAAGAAAUUAUGCAAUAUUAAAUAUUUAAAAUCUUAUAAAAUCAUAAUGAACUAAAAAAUAAUUUAUUUAUUGAUCAAUAUCUAUGCUGUACACGUUUCAUACGCAUAAAGUCGCUAACGCCUUUCUUUGGCGCUGAUGAGCGCUCGCUAAGCCGAGCGUGUAGUCAGCUCCAGUAUUUAUUAUGGUGGCGCCUUUCC